UUAUCAAUAAUCUUCUUCUCCUUUAGAUCUGCAAUUCUGCUUCUUGCGAAAACCAAACCCUACCUUAGGUUUUCAUCAAAAUUUGGUUUUAAUGGAAGGUAAUGCCUUCCCUCGCUACUUCAGACAUCCUAUCCGAAAUUUAUUGCGAAAAAACGUAAAGAAAUCCUCAUCUUCGUCAUCAACCUUACAAUCGUCGUCGUCGUCGUCGUCGUCGAUCUUACAAUCGUCAUCGUCCUCUGGUGCUUCUUUACCAGGUAAAUUCGUAUGUAUCUGUGUAUAUACAGUCGAUAAGUAUGAGUGGUACACUUUUGAUGUCUCCGAUGAUAUUCGACACAACCAAACUCCUCCUCCUGCUAAAUACAUUAACUACCGUGUUCCUUUUCACGAUGACGAUGAAUCCGGACUUGUAAAUCUCAAACCUAAAGUCACUGCCAAUAUGGAUUGGAUUCUAGGUUGGUCAAUUUUGGGUUUGACAUUAUAUAUUCUUGAUGAUUGGACUGGUGAUUGGAGAGGAUCGUCUGUUAAAAACGAAAGCAAUCGAGUGGAUCGAAUUGAUCUAGUUAGUACUAGGUCGAAAUGGGAGAGAGUUCCUCAAAUGCCUAAUCAGAUUGCUGUGUUGGCUCAUACUUUUGUUCUUGCCGGCAAGUUUUAUUGCCUGGGUGGGUUUCGAUCCAAAAAGGGAGAGUUGGAGAGGGAAUCGCUGUUUGCCAUGGCUUACGACUUGAGCGUAAAAGCUGGUGACUCGUUACCGAGCCCCCCAUGUAUUAACCUUGAUGAAAUAUUCUCAGGAGCUAAAGAGGUCCCCAACCCAUGUUUUCCCUCUCAAAAGAUGGAUUUGGAGAGGCUGUCACUACGGGACAACAAAUCUUCACUAGAUGAAGAGGGCACCAACCCGUGUUUGCCCUCUCAAAAGAUAGAUUUGGAGAGGCCGUUAUCGUUCCCCAUGGCUCCCGACGACAGUCUAUUUGGCUCUACAUGGCUUGAAAUAAGCCCAGCAGGUGAAGAGCUCGGCAACUCAUAUUCUCAAAACAUGGAGUUGGAGAGACAUAAACCGUGGGUCAUGGCUUACGACCCGAGCCUAAAUACAUGGGAAUCUCUACCUGACCCUCCAAGUUGUCCCGUUAAGGUUGACAGUAUAUUCUCAGCCGCUGGAGAGUUCCCCAAUCCAUGUAUUGUAGUGGGUUCACCUGGGGAUGGUCUCCAAAUCUACCAAGUAAAUGCCAAAAAGUGGGAAAAACAAGAGUUUAAAAUAUGCCCAAAGUUUGGCCCAAAUGUGUUAACAGGGCCAGCUUUGGCUGUUGACAGUAAGUUGUAUUGGUAUUCAGUCCAUGAUCUAAGCCUAGUUGGAUAUGAUUUAGUGACGUCAAUGUGGUUUGUGGGCAAUUUCCCUAUCCAUGACCAUGGCGAGCAUUUUGGAGUACGAGAUGUUGACACUCCUCCACGCUUGGCUCAUCUAGGUGGCGACAUGUUUUGCUUGCUGUGGGUUUCUGUGUUGCCGCGCAGGCGAAUGAAGAUUUCGGAGUCCAAAGAUGACUAUAUUUCUCGCCUUCACUGUAUGAAGCUUCGAGUUACCACUGAAAACUUUCACCCAGUGAAUGGAAUUAUUCCCUUGGAGGUCUCUAUCCUGUCGUGCCAAUCUUACUUGGCUUCUGGAUUGAAGUUUUUCCGUGGUGGCUUGGUGGUGCUGCAGAAUGCCCCAAAAAAUGAAUUCUAGAAAAAAAUAAAAAGAAAGGCCGAAGAAAGAAGAAGACAAAGUGCGAAGAAGUGAGAAGAACACACUCUGUUGUGUUGGAGAUCAGAGUUGGUGUGGUGAUCAACGUUGAAGGUUUGAGACUUUGUGCUUCUUUCAUUUCUUUAGAAACAUUGGUGUUCUGCUACAGCUCACAAAUAUUUAUAGUUAGGGCUAUCAAAAGGUCUGUUAAAUAUUUGGUACAAUUAUAAAAGUCAACAAAAUGGAUGGCGCCUCGCACUACAGCCUAAUGCGCUCACUUUUCUCACCUAGGUGUCGGCUCACUAUUCAAGCCAUUAUAUGCACCAUAGGGUCAACUUGAGUCCCUUCUCGCUAAGGGUUUUGCCUAAGCGUGCUUUUCACAACACUAUUACAAAUUUAACAGACUAACCUGGUAUCAUCUAUGGCUCACGUGUCUUAUAGUUAGGACCUAUUAGCCUUGAGUGGGCCCAAGGUUAUGCCGUGGGGCUCUUCUCUCGCCCAUAUUUUUACUUCUAUUUGAUUUUUAUGGCUAUCAUUCUAAUUGGGUGUUGAUAUUGUAGUGAUGCUCAUUCAAGAUACUUUCAUGCCUGACAACAGUUGGUGGUAUGUUAGCAUUUCCUUUAUUUUUCCCAUUGCAACACACCAUUUUUUCUCCUUUUGAUUGUAAUCAUUUUGAAACCUACUUUUAUUGUUAUGGUAGAUUUUAGGUGUAGUGAACAUCUAAGAAGCACUGAUACUCCAAAUCAGGUGUUGUAGUGGUGUCGGUCAUGGGGACACCCCACAUGGUGUUUCUUUUUAUUUAAUUAAUUUGUUUUUAAGGGACACGCUAGAGGACACAUUAGCUAGUUUUUUUUUCUUUCUUCUUUAGUGCUUUUAAUGGAUGAUGGAUAUUAAAUGUUUGUUACCAUUUGCUUAGA